AAAGCAGGAGGUAUCAGAAAAGUUACCACAGGGAUAACUGGCUUGUGGUGGCCAAGAGUUCAUAGCGAUGUCACUUUUUGAUCCUUCGA
ensembl:miRNA